ACGACGGUGGCGAAAGCAAGCUUCUGAGUAGCAGCGUUCCAAGUCCAGAUCUGCUUGUUGCAGACAGAGCUGUCGUAUUGGGCAGCGUUCAUAGCCACGUAGUCACUGUCGCUGAUAGUGGAACCGCAAGCACCGACACCGCUAGCAGUGUAGUAGGUAGCAGUACCCUGGGAAUCGUCACGCUUCUCGAAGGAGGGAGCGGCAGAGACGAGAGAGAGAGCAGCAAGAGUAGCGAAGAUAGCCUUGGUGAACAUUUUUGUUGUUGGUGUUAUUGGUGCGUUUACCGUAGUAUUAAUAGCGAGUGUUGGUAUGUCUUGUACAGACUUUUUGUUUGUCUAGGUUGACGUUGAUUGGUGGUGGUGAAAGAGUCGAAAGAUUCUUAAUGGUUGGGGAGCAAAGAGGUCGUAGACUGAAAGGUUUUUAUACCUUGUGUUCUGUCUAUCUGAAUCUUUUUGAGGCCAUCGCUGUUGUGAAGACAUGCCCGAACAGAGUUGAAAGGAAUGAGUGUGUUAUCGUUCAUACUUCCACUUUACACCUCGGCACCCCCGUCUUUGAUUGAGAGUCCAGACAUUGACCUGUACGUCAUGAUUAUCCAUAGACACCUACAUUUAGAGGACCUCGAUCUUCGAUAGCGCUUCUUGGUUAUUUGGUAAGCAUAUUCCGCGCAUAGACUGGUCCAACCAGUCUGUCCCUUGUUUGCUAACCUUCGGAAGAUUAAGGCAAAUAAUCGGGGUUUGAUGGGGCAGGGCGUGCAGGGUCAUAAAAGUUACGAAUGCAACGGUCCAAAUUUUG
rnacentral:sRNA from 1 species